rnacentral:rRNA from 1 species
UCCACGCUGUAAACGAUGAUCACUCGUUGUUGGCGAUACAUUGUCAGCGACCAAGCGAAAGCAUUAAAUGAUCCACCUGGGGAGUACGAUCGCAAGAUUGAAACUCAAAGGAAUUGACGGGGGCCCGCACAAGCGGAGGAACAUGUGGUUUAAUUCGAUGAUACGCGAGGAACCUUACCUGGGCUUAAAUGCAGGGCGAUUUUUCCCGAAAGGGAUUUUUCUUCGGACGACCUGCAAGGUGCUGCAUGGUUGUCGUCAGCUCGUGCCGUGAGGUGUUGGGUUAAGUCCCG